rnacentral:rRNA from 1 species
UACGGGGGGGGCAAGCGUUGUUCGGAAUUACUGGGCGUAAAGGGCUCGUAGGCGGCCAACUAAGUCAUACGUGAAAUCCCUCGGCUUAACCGGGGAACUGCGUCUGAUACUGGAUGGCUUGAGAUUGGGAGAGGGAUGCGGAAUUCCUGGUGUAGCGGUGAAAUGCGCAGAUAUCAGGAGGAACACCAAUGGCGAAGGCAGCUCGCUGGGACGGUACUGACGCUGAGACGCGAAAGCGUGGGGAGCAAACAGG